rnacentral:misc_RNA from 1 species
GAUGAAGAACGUAGCGAAAUGCGAUAAGUAAUGUGAAUUGCAGAAUUCAGUGAAUCAUCGAAUCUUUGAACGCAUCUUGCGCUCCUUGGUAUUCUGAGGAGCAUGCCUGUUUGAGUGUCAUUAAAUUCUCAACUACACUGACUUUGAAUUGGUGUGGCUUGGAUUUGGGGGGAAAAUUGUUGUGGGCUUUUUGUAUAGUCUGCUCCACUGAAAUUGAUUAGCGGUACCUUUGUGGAACUGUCUACAGGUGUGAUAAUUAUCUACAUCCUAGACAUCUGCUGGAAUGCUGCUUUCUAAACCUUACUUGUAUUGACAAUCUUGACCUCAAAUCAGGUAGGACUACCCGCUGAACUUAAGCAUAUCAAUAAGCGGAGGA